CCACACUGUCCCUCUCAUCUCUUAUAUGUUCUCCCCUUGUGUUAAUUUCGUACUCUUUCUCUGUCAAUGGUAAUGUUGAUGAGCAUCCUUCUUUUCUUUCCUUAGUCACGCUCUUUGUCAUGCUGCAUCAACCCUGUUGUAUGGUUGCUGUCUCCCUAAGUGUACUGGGUGUGGGGUUUGGUGACUCAGUGGUAUGGAUCCUCCCCUGGCCCAGACCCAAGCUGCCGGGGCCUCACAGUGCGGCUGCACUGCCCACUACCGGCCCAUCCCUUUCUUUUCUCCAUUUUCUUCCUUCUUCCCCCCAGGCACUUGGACACGGGCCAAUCCCAACUCCUCCUUCUGAAGACCUUUACCCUCUAUGUGUAUGUUUUUGCUUUCUUUGUGUGACAAACAGCUCGGAGGAAACUCCCCGUGAAUCACCAUCCAUGAUGUCCUAUGGAGAUGGGCUGUUGCAGCAAGAGAAGCAGGCCUCCUCCUCUUCCUCUUCCUCUUCCUCUUCCUCCUCCUCCUCCUCUUCCAGCAGGAGACAUGCCAAUCACCGGGGCUCGGACUCCUGCAGUGCACGGAGAGCAUCCUCACGCUCACGUUCCACUGCACGAUGGCGAGGAUGCAGUGCACGUUCAGCUCUUCCUAAACCUCCUGCUGUCUCGAAGAAGGAUGAGGAAAGGGAGCUCAUAACGCAGGU